CGCGUAGGGAGCAAGCGUUGUCCGGAUUUAUUGGGCGUAAAGAGCUCGUAGGCUGUUCGAUAAGUCGGGUGUGAAACCUCCAGGCUCAACCUGGAGACGCCACCCGAUACUGUCAUGACUAGAGUCCGGUAGGGGAGCGUGGAAUUCCUGGUGUAGCGGUGAAAUGCGCAGAUAUCAGGAGGAACACCAGCGGCGAAGGCGGCGCUCUGGGCCGGUACUGACGCUGAGGAGCGAAAGCGUGGGUAGCAAACAGG
rnacentral:rRNA from 1 species